GUUCCCGGGUAGGAAGCUGUGCCAAGCGAUGCCUCGGUCGCCGUGGUUACGGCUGGCAGCUCCCAGUGACUCAUGGCCCCAGAAGCAGCAGGAGGCCUCGCCGGCGAACUUCUCCGGGCUGGGAGCUGCUGCCAUUUCGCAACGCCCGCAGGGACAGACAGCAUGGCGGCACCAGGAAUCUGCGGCCACCUCUGGGCCCGCUGGAAGAACAGGACCGGGGUUUUCAGUAAGGAUGCCGGCCCGCCUGGGAACUGCACUGAGAGGGGACGAAGAUUCUGUUCUCUCCGAGAAUGACGGUCCUGACCAAAACACUCCCAUUCCACCAAACAAGCUGGAAUUCCUAAACCUUCUCAUUUGAAAACCACGUCACUGGUCCAAACUCCACAGAGCCCUUGGGAUACGCCUGGCAUCACCAAGUCAGAGUUUCCCUCUGACUCUGAAAACGAUCCAUCAGUGUAUCUGGCCUGGUUGGAACUAUGCAAAUAACUUGAUAAAGAAGUUAGAUGAAUAUGCUUAUUUGGAGUAAUAGUCCCCUAGAGAGUGUAACAACACUUAGAUUACCACAUGGUUACGGGAUGAUAGAAUCUGUCCUCUCUUUCAAAUAGCUUAGAAAUUACUUAGACCUUAUUGUUUAUUAUUAUUAUUGUUGUUAUUGUUAAUAAUAAUACUUUGAGCUCAUAAAGUACCUUCCAAGUAAGGUA